GAUUCGAAACGGCUCUGGUUAAUACCCGGAGAUAAUGACGGUUCCGUAAGAAUAAGCACCGGCUAAUUACGUGCCAGCAGCCGCGGUAAUACGUAGGGUGCGAGCGUUAAUCGGAAUUACUGGGCGUAAAGCGUGCGCAGGCGGUGCUGUAAGACAGGCGUGAAAUCCCCGGGCUUAACCUGGGAAUGGCGCUUGUGACUGCAGUGUUGGAGUGCGGCAGAGGGGGAUGGAAUUCCGCGUGUAGCAGUGAAAUGCGUAGAUAUGCGGAGGAACACCGAUGGCGAAGGCAAUCCCCUGUCCUGCACUGACGCUCAUGCACGAAAGCGUGGGGAGCAAACAGGAUUAGAUACCCUGGUAGUCCACGCCCUAAACGAUGUCAACUGGCCGUUGGGUCUCUUCCCACUCAGUAACGAAGCUAACGCGUGAAGUGACCGCCUGGA
rnacentral:rRNA from 1 species